UACGAAGGGUGCAAACGUUGCUCGGAAUUAUUGGGCGUAAAGCGCACGUAGGCGGCAUUGCAAGUCCCAUGUGAAAUCCCACGGCUUAACCGUGGAAGUGCAUGGGAAACUGCAGUGCUUGAGUACUUAAGAGGAUCGCGGAAUUCCCGGUGUAGAGGUGAAAUUCGUAGAUAUUCGCAGGAACACCAGUGGCGAAGGCGGCUUCCUGGUCCAGCACCGACGUUCAGGCACGAAAGCGUGGGGAGCAAACAGG
rnacentral:rRNA from 1 species